rnacentral:ncRNA from 28 species
CCCGCAUAUGAUCGCGCCGGUGCCCGAAAGGGCUUAAUAGGGAACGCGGUGGGUGCGCGCGAAAGCGCAUCGCAACCGAGGCUGUCCCUGCAACUGUAAGCGGCGAGCGAGAUGCACCGUUCGGGCCCAAGGCCCGAACAGCCACUGGGGCAACCUGGGAAGGCGUGCAUCGAGCCUUGACCCGCGAGCCAGGAGACCUGCCGGCGUGGGUCGCUCAAUG